CCAUCAGACUUCUCACUUCUUUGGUAAAAAGAAACAAAUCCACAAUGAUGGAGAGGUGUCUGUGCAAGAUCAUUUAUCUCCGAUGACGCCAACAGGAAAGACAGGAGAAUCAGCAUAUUUGGUGAAGGUCAAGGGAGCAAAAACUCUGCUGGUCUCUGCCUAUUUGGAGCAUCGCACAGCGGUAAAAGAAGUUCGUGUCAUUGUAAUCACGCCUCGGAGCGAGCAGGCGGUCUUUAACUGCCACCUAGACUGCCAAAGACAGCUCUACAUAUCUAA